GGGGGGAGCAAGCGUUGUUCGGAAUUACUGGGCGUAAAGGGCGUGUAGGCGGUCAAGUAAGUGGGAUGUGAAAUCCUUCGGCUUACCCGGAGACCUGCAUCUCAAACUGCUUGGCUCGAGUACGGGAGAGGAUGUGGGAAUUCCUGGUGUAGCGGUGAAAUGCGUAGAUAUCAGGAGGAACACCGGUGGCGAAGGCGCACAUCUGGCCCGAUACUGACGCUGAGGCGCGAAAGCUAGGGGAGCAAACGGGAUUAGAUACCCCGGUAGUCCUAGCCGUAAACGGUGAUCACUAGGUGUUGGAGGCCAUUCGACCCCUCCAGUGCCGCAGCUAACGCAUUAAGUGAUCCGCCUGGGGAGUACGGCCGCAAGGGG
rnacentral:rRNA from 1 species